rnacentral:sRNA from 1 species
GGGGUCCUCCUGGGGGUCCUUGUGGCUGGGCUUGCCACCCAUGAAGCUUACGGAGAUGGCCUGGAGAGUGUGUUUCCACUCAUAGCCGAGGGCCAGCGCAGUGCCACGUCACAGGCCAUGUACCAGCUCUUCGGGCUGUUUGUCACACUGAUGUUUGCCUCUGUGGGUGGGGGCCUCGGAGACUCCCAGUGCUACGAGGACCAAGUUCACUGGCAGGUGCCUGGCCAGCAUGAGGAUAAAGCCCAGAGACCUCUGAGGGGGAGGAGGCAGACACUCAGGCCUAACCCACUGCUGGCCCCUGAGAACACGUUCCUUUUCGGA